rnacentral:misc_RNA from 1 species
UCUCCGUUGGUGAACCAGCGGAGGGAUCAUUACAGGAUCGAAAGACUCCUAUAACCCCUGUGAACUUACUACAAAUACGUUGCUUCGGCGGGGGCCCGGGGUCUCCCGGGGCGUUCAGCCCGCCGGCAGCCUUCAAAUUCUGUUUCUUUGCGUUGGCAUCUCGAGUAUACAAAAAUAAGUUAAAACUUUCAACAACGGAUCUCUUGGUUCUG